rnacentral:rRNA from 1 species
GAUGAACGCUGGCGGCGUGCCUAAUACAUGCAAGUCGAGCGAACAGACGAGGAGCUUGCUCCUCUGACGUUAGCGGCGGACGGGUGAGUAACACGUGGAUAACCUACCUAUAAGACUGGGAUAACUUCGGGAAACCGGAGCUAAUACCGGAUAACAUGUUGAACCGCAUGGUUCAACAGUGAAAGACGGUCUUGCUGUCACUUAUAGAUGGAUCCGCGCCGCAUUAGCUAGUUGGUAAGGUAACGGCUUACCAAGGCAACGAUGCGUAGCCGACCUGAGAGGGUGAUCGGCCACACUGGAACUGAGACACGGUCCAGACUCCUACGGGAGGCAGCAGUAGGGAAUCUUCCGCAAUGGGCGAAAGCCUGACGGAGCAACGCCGCGUGAGUGAAGAAGGUCUUCGGAUCGUAAAACUCUGUUAUUAGGGAAGAACAAAUGUGUAAGUAACUAUGCACGUCUGGACGGUACCUAAGCAGAAAGCCACGGCUAACUACGU